rnacentral:rRNA from 1 species
ACGGAGGGUGCAAGCGUUAAUCGGAAUUACUGGGCGUAAAGCGCACGCAGGCGGUUUGUUAAGUCAGAUGUGAAAUCCCCGGGCUCAACCUGGGAACUGCAUCUGAUACUGGCAAGCUUGAGUCUCGUAGAGGGGGGUAGAAUUCCAGGUGUAGCGGUGAAAUGCGGAGAUCUCUGGAGGAAUACCGGUGGCGAAGGCGGCCCCCCGGACGAGGUCUGACAGUGAGGUGCGAAAGCGGGGGGAGCAAACAG